rnacentral:rRNA from 1 species
GACGAACGCUAGCGGCGUGCCUAAUACAUGCAAGUAGAACGCACAGUUUAUACCGUAGCUUGCUACACCAUAAACUGUGAGUUGCGAACGGGUGAGUAACGCGUAGGUAACCUGCCUGGUAGCGGGGGAUAACUAUUGGAAACGAUAGCUAAUACCGCAUAAUAUUAAUUAUUGCAUGAUAAUUGAUUGAAAGUUGCAAUUGCAUCACUACCAGAUGGACCUGCGUUGUAUUAGCUAGUAGGUGAGGUAACGGCUCACCUAGGCGACGAUACAUAGCCGACCUGAGAGGGUGAUCGGCCACACUGGGACUGAGACACGGCCCAGACUCCUACGGGAGGCAGCAGUAGGGAAUCUUCGGCAAUGGACGAAAGUCUGACCGAGCAACGCCGCGUGAGUGAAGAAGGUUUUCGGAUCGUAAAGCUCUGUUGUAAGAGAAGAACGGGUGUGAGAGUGGAAAGUUCACACUGUGACGGUAGCUUACCAGAAAGAGACGGCUAACUACGUG